UUAGGAAUAUUGGACAAUGGGCGAGAGCCUGAUCCAGCCAUGCCGCGUGCAGGAAGACUGCCCUAUGGGUUGUAAACUGCUUUUAUACAGGAAGAAACCUUUUCACGUGUGAAAAGCUGACGGUACUGUAAGAAUAAGGAUCGGCUAACUCCGUGCCAGCAGCCGCGGUAAUACGGAGGAUCCAAGCGUUAUCCGGAAUCAUUGGGUUUAAAGGGUCCGUAGGUGGAUAAUUAAGUCAGGGGUGAAAGUUUGCAGCUCAACUGUAAAAUUGCCUUUGAUACUGGUUAUCUUGAAUUAUUGUGAAGUGGUUAGAAUAUGUAGUGUAGCGGUGAAAUGCAUAGAUAUUACAUAGAAUACCAAUUGCGAAGGCAGAUCACUAACAAUAUAUUGACACUGAUGGACGAAAGCGUGGGGAGCGAACA
rnacentral:rRNA from 1 species